rnacentral:rRNA from 1 species
AUGGCCGGGCAUCUCUUUGAGCAUAUCUUCAUUGUGACCAGAAUCGAUCCUGAUGGGAAGAAGUUCGACAGAUUUAAUCGCAGCGAGGCUAGAUGCGAGCAGGUCGAUAUGUAGAUGGAAUUAGAUGUCGCUACCGAUGUUUACCCGAUUCAUACUGGUGAAAAAUUCACCAUGGGUUUGGCUCCUACGCUGAAUCUGGAUGGAACUCCAGACAUUCGCUACUACACAUAGGCUGGUAGGAAAACCCUUGCUGACAAGUAUUACGUCAUGCAUGGAAAGCUUUACAACAAUUCAAAGGACAGUUCCAGUGGUCAAGCUACUAAAGUGGAGAUUUAUGUGUCUUUUGGUGGCCUCCCGGUGUUCCUCAAAGGCGAUCCUUGGAGUGCCGCCAACCUCGAGCUGGAUCGAAGGCCGUUCCUCCUCAUACGGAAGGUGUAA